rnacentral:rRNA from 1 species
UACAGAGGUGGCAAGCGUUGUUCGGAAUUACUGGGCGUAAAGGGCGCGUAGGCGGUCUUGCAAGUCCUGUGUGAAAUCCCUCGGCUCAACUGAGGAACUGCACAGGAAACUGCUUGGCUUGAGUUCGGGAGAGGGAAGCGGAAUUCCGGGUGUAGCGGUGAAAUGCGUAGAUAUCGGGAGGAACACCAGUAGCGAAGGCGGCACUCUGGGCCGGUACUGACGCUGAGGAGCGAAAGCGUGGGGAGCGAACAGG